AACCAAAUUUCAAUUGCUUAUCGUAAAAAAACGUACUUGGAAAGUAAAAUGCUCUAGUGCAGUAACGUAUCACUUUCUACACACUUUUUAAAACAACAGUGAUCCUCUGUCAAAGCAUGAGAAAUAAAAAAUAUUUAAAAUAUUUAUUCUAUCCACCUUUCGUCACAUUCGAGCAUCAUUCAAGGUUUUUUAAUGUACCUAUUUUAAUGUUUAUCAAUUUCAGCAUCCAUUUAAGGUUAGUUAUCACAUAUAAUAUAACUGUAAUAUUUAGUUUUUCGACGUCUAAUAACUGUCAAUAAAAAAAUCGGCCAAGAGCAUGUCGGGCCAUGCUUAGUGUAGGGUUUCGUAGUUACCAUUCUGUCAGAACAGACCAAACGGGGGUUAUUAUUAAGUUAAGUAUUAAAUAUGUACAUUACAAGCGUAAGGGACUAAGGGAGUACCUUCGCAGUACUUUGUACAAAGUAAGGUACGUCUUUUUACUAAGAAAUGUUUUUUUGCAAUUACUCAAAAAGGCUGGACCGAUCAUGUUCGCUAUAGUUUUCAUAGAAAAUAUUUAUUAAGCUUUUAUUUAACGAUUUAUUUUUUGAGAAACUGCAUGUGAUGCUAGAUCCGAGUUUAUUUUUUCUCCUUUCUAUACUUAAAUAUUUCGAGUAUUUUGUGUGUGGUGUAAAACUGUCCACAUAGAUUUGUGAUUACCGAUACUAACUUAACGUGACCAACUAAAUUAACGAUACUAAGCGUCAUUUCAAAAUGUGUAAUUUAAUUUAACCUUGCCUUGUGUUUGGAUUGAAUAAUGUGGUCAAUAAUUAUAGCAUAGAGCACAAUAUGACCUACUAAGUCUCUUUAAAGAAUAGAUAGUAUGUUUGCUGCUCAAUUAACAAUACAGAUAAACAAAAACUGCUUGAUUGACGCAUUGUUAAGCAAUUUGACGCUGUUAUGACAACGUUUCGGUUCGUUAGUUUGAUAAGUGUACCGGAAUCAAAUGCCAAUCAUCUGCUGAGAGUCUGCACUGCACACUAGAGCCAAUGGAACUAAACACUUAAACUGCAAGAUUUGCUCUAAUUACAUUUCGUAGAAAUGCUUGGAAUAGUUUUGAUUUUGUCAAAACAACAUAAAGGAAACGCCAGCUGAACCACAGAUUUCUCUCCCAGACAGUGCUAAACCCGAGGAACAGGUGAUUCAUGGUGCUGUCGCCGGCGACGCCGUUGCGUUGACAACGAGGCUUCAGGCACAACACCAGUCGCUGGGCCUUGGGCUGACACAGUUCAAUACUUCCACCACUUAGCUCUAUAAGCUCCCAUGCUGUCCCUGGAAUAAAUAUAAUUAGUAUAAUUACA